rnacentral:rRNA from 1 species
UGNUNCUUCCUGCGCUCUUUAGCUAUGAUAAGAGUGCGUCCCACAGCUCAGUAACACGUGGCUAACCUGCCCUCGGGACAGAGACAACCCCGGGAAACUGGGGCUAAUCCCUGAUAGGUGAAGAACUCUGGAAUGAGUCUCCGCCUAAAAGGCGCUUACAUCAUGCUUGUAGGCGUCGCCCAAGGAUGGGGCCGCGACCGAUCAGGUUGUUGGUUGAGGUAACGGCUCACCAAGCCAUUUACCGGUACGGGCCGUGAGAGCGGGAGCCCGGAGAUGGGCACUGAGACAAGGGCCCAGGCCCUACGGGGCGCAGCAGUCGCGCAAACUUUGCAAUACACGAAAGUGUGACAGGGCUAUCCCGAGUGCCGCCGCUGAGGGUGGCUUUUACUCAGUCUAGCAAGCUGAGAGAAUAAGGAGAGGGCAAGACUGGUGUCAGCCGCCGCGGUAAUACCAGCUCUCCGAGUGGUGUGGAUGUUUAUUGGGCCUAAAGCAUCCGUAGCUUGCUGAACAAGUCCUCUGUUAAACCCAACGAAUUAAUCGUUGGAGUGCGGGGGAUACUGCUCGGCUUGGGGGCGAGAAAGCAAACGGUAUUCCCGGGUAGA